rnacentral:misc_RNA from 1 species
GCAAACUUGGUCAUUUAGAGGAAGUAAAAGUCGUAACAAGGUUUCCGUAGGUGAACCUGCGGAAGGAUCAUUAACAAAUCAUCAUAAACAACAACCAUGUGUCAAUGUCUUCUUUCCCUUGAUGGUGGUGAUGGUAAUGGAUGAGAGAGAAGAAGAGGAGAGGAUGGAUGAGGUAGAUCUCGAUCUUAUUAUCCAUCUCAUCAUCAUCUCUUCCUCUCACCCAUACUCCUUUCCCCCAAGGGAAACGAUUGCUUAACAUUAAAAAAAUGACUAUCAAUCAUAUGGACAAGCCUUAGAUCAUCAUUAGAUUAAAAAUUUAAACAACUUUUAACAAUGGAUCUCUUGGCUCUUGCAUCGAUGAAGAACGCAGC